rnacentral:rRNA from 1 species
AGAGUUUGAUCAUGGCUCAGGAUGAACGCUGGCGGCGUGCCUAAUACAUGCAAGUCGAACGAGGUGCUUUUGUAGCAAUACGAGAGUAUCCUAGUGGCGAACGGGUGAGUAACGCGUUGGUGACCUGCCCCAAAGUGUGGGAUAACAGUCCGAAAGGAUUGCUAAUACCGCAUGUGGUCCUCGGAUUUAGAAACCGAUGACUAAAGCCGUAAGGCGCUUUGGGAGGGACCUGCGUCCCAUCAGCUAGUUGGUGAGGUAACGGCCCACCAAGGCUACGACGGGUAGGGGACCUGAGAGGGUGGCCCCCCACAAUGGAACUGAAACACGGUCCAUACACCUACGGGUGGCAGCAGUAGGGAAUAUUGCACAAUGGGCGAAAGCCUGAUGCAGCAACGCCGCGUGAGCGAUGAAGGCCUUCGGGUCGUAAAGCUCUUUUCUGGGAGAUGAGAAAGGACAGUAUCCCAGGAAUAAGUCUCGGCUAACUACGUGCCAGCAGCCGCGGUAACACGUAGGAGGCGAGCGUUAUCCGGAUUCACUGGGCGUAAAGCGCGUGCAGGCGGUUCGGUAAGUUGGACGUGAAAUCUCCCGGCUCAACUGGGAUAGGUCGUUCAAUACUACCGAACUUGAGAGCGAUAGAGGAAAAUGGAAUUCCCGGUGUAGUGGUGAAAUGCGUAGAUAUCGGGAGGAACACCAGUGGCGAAAGCGAUUUUCUGGAUCGUUUCUGACGCUCAGACGCGAAAGCUAGGGUAGCAAACGGGAUUAGAUACCCUGGUAGUCC